CUGCCCCUCCCCUGCUCACACUGUCUCUCAAAAUAAAUAAACAUUAAAAAAUAAUAAAAAAAUUAAAAAGUCUAAGCCACAUCACCUCCAUGAAGUUUGUUCCCCAAAGCACUCAUUUAUCUUUCUCUCACAUGAAUUCCUUCAAAAGCAACAUCUUUCUGCAUCUGUGUCAGCCUUUUGAUAUUGUCAGCCUUUUGAUUUUAGCCUUUCUAGUGGGUGUGCAGUGGUAUCUUAUGGUUUUAUUUGUAUUUCUGAAGUGACUAGUAAUAUUGAACAUCUUUUCAUGUGCUUAUUUUCAAGUCAUUUAUCUUAUUUGGUGAAAUGUCUAUUAAAAUAUUUUACCCGUUUUUAAUUAGGCUGUUGGUCUUACUAUUGAGUUAUGAAGUUUUUUUCUUAUAUGUAUUUUGGGUACAAGUCCUUUAUCAGGUGUGUGUUUUGCAAAUGUUUUCUCCCAGUUUAUGACUUUGUCAGUUCAUAAUGUUCUCAGUGUUGUAUUUUGAAGAACAAACAUUUUCAGUUUUGUAACUCCAGUUGGCCAACUUUUAUUCUUUUGGUGUCAUACCUAAGACGUUUUUGCCUAACCCAAGACUGCAAAGACUGUAAUCUUUCUUUGCCUCUAGAAGAUUUGUAGUUAAUUCUUAUAUUUAGGUGUACAAUCUGUCUUGAGUAAGUUUUUGUACAUUGUAUAAGGAAGAAGGCUAGGUUUAUUUUUUUGCAUUUAGAUUUACAGUUUUUCCAGCACCAUUUCAUUUGUUCGAAAGAUAAUUCUUAUCCCCUUGGAUUACCCUGGAAACUUUAUCAAAAAUAUAUUGACCUUAUAUGUAUAACUUAUUUCCAGACUCUAUUCUGUUCCAUUGAUCUAUACUUAUUCUUAUGCUAAUAUCACAUUGUCUUAAUCACUGAAGUUUUAUAGUAAGUCUUAAAUCAGGUAAGAUAAGUCCUCUGACUUUGUCCUUUUUCAAAGAGAUUUUGGCUGUUCUAUUUUUAUUUUUAUGUAAAUUUCAGGAUCUUCUUGUCAAUUUCUACAAAAGCCUGUGGGGAUUUUGAUAAGGAUUGCAUUAAAUCAAUAGGUUAAUUUAGAAGGAAUUGCCAACUAACAACAUUAAGUCUUUCCCAUCUAUGAAUAUGAAAUAAUUUUCUAUUUAAGCAUUUAAUUGCUUUCAACACUUCUGUAUAGUUUUCACUGUACAAGUCCUGCAUUUCUUUCGUUAAAUAUAUUCCUGAGUAUUUUGAUCUUUUGAUAGUAUUGUGAAUGAAAUCGUUUCCUCAAUUUCACUUUUGGAUUGUUCAUUGUUAGCUUAGAGAAAUAAAAUUGAUUUUUCUAUAUUGAUCUUGUAUACUCUGACCUUGCUAACCCAAACUGUUAGUUCUAUUUCUUUGUUUUUUUUUCUUUUUUCUUUUUUUGUAUCUUAGGAUUUUCUACAUCCAUGACUCUGUCAUCACAAAUAUAGUUUUACUUCUUCCUUUUCAAUGUUUAUGCCUCUAGUAUCUUUGUCUUAUUGCAUUGACAGAAUCUCCAGUACAAUCUUGAAUAGAAGUGAUGACAGUGGACAUCCUAAUCUUAUUCCUGAUUUGGAGGGAGGGGACAGAAUACAGUCUUUCACUACUACAUGGGAUGUUAAUUGUAGGUUUUCAGAGAUGCCCUUUAUCAGGUUGAGGAAGUUUGUUGAGAAUAUUUUUUUAAAUCAUAAAUAGCUAUUGAAUUUGGCCAAGUGAUUUUUUUUUUGCAUCUAUUGAGAUAGUAAUCUGUUUUGUUUUGUUUUUUUGUCCAUCACUGUAUUAAUAUAGUGCAUUACAUUAAAUUGAUUUUCAGUUGUUAAACUAACCUAGUAUUUCUGGGUUAAACUCCGCUUGGUCAUGAUGUGUAAUUGCUUUUAUAUGUGCUGAGACCUGUUUAAUAAUAUUUUGUUAAGGAUUUUCCUUCUAUACUCCUGAGGGGUAUUGGUCUGUAGUUUUCUUAUACUGUGUUUGGAUAACAUAGGGGGAAGAUGGCAGCAGAGGAGGACGCUGGGCUCACCUCAUCCUGCUGAUCACUUAGAUUCCACCCACACUUGCUUAAAUAACCCAGAAAACCGCCAGAAGACUAGCAGAAUGGACUCUCCGGAGCCAAGAGAAGACAAGAGCCCACGGAAGAAGAGUUUCCUAGAGGCUGAGUAUGAUGGUACUGUCACAAACCUUAAGAUCUACCAGCUGAAGGUGACUUCAGGGAUUUUCAAACAUCUUUUAUACCAAAAUCCAAGGGAUUGUUUUUAAAGCUUAUGUUGCCACUGGGAAUGAGUUCUUUAGAUUUUGAUUUUCUACAAAGAAAAGGAUACGAAAAUGAAAAGAAAGCAGGAGCUGAAAGAAUAGGAGAGAGAAGAGAAGGAGAAAUCAGAAAGGGAAAGAAGAAAACCAAGGACUGAUCCUUGGGAUGCUCCAAAAUUAAUAGGUCUUGGAGAAGAGAGAGUGCUAGCAUGAAGACUGAGAAGGAAUAACCAGUGAGCCAGGAAGCAAAUGAAAAAGAGUAUGGUGUCCUGGAAGCCAUGUGAAGAAAAUAUAUUGAGGAAGAGGGAGUCAUCAGCCAUGCCACUGGAUUUACAGGCAGCUAAUGAAGUAAACCAACCCAGGGACUUCCUCUAGACUGGGAGGUGCUAACCAAGGGAGUUCUACAGAAAGCAUGCCUGGGGUGAGUGGCUUGGCCUAGCUUUUAGUCUGUCCACAUCAGAGGACACAGUAUGGUGCCUCCCAGUCCUCAUCUGGCCCCCAGACCUUUUUGUUGUUGUUCUAAUAAAAUUUAAAAUCAUU